rnacentral:rRNA from 1 species
GUGUCAGCCGCCGCGGUAAUACGGAGGGUGCGAGCGUUGUCCGGAAUCACUGGGCGUAAAGGGCGCGUAGGUGGCCCAGGAAGUCGGCGGUGAAAGCCCGGCGCUCAACGCCGGGUCGGCCGUCGAUACUCUUGGGCUCGAGCUCACUAGAGGCAGAUGGAAUUCCGGGUGUAGCGGUGGAAUGCGUAGAGAUCCGGAAGAACACCGGUGGCGAAGGCGGUCUGCUGGGGUGAUGCUGACACUGAUGCGCGACAGCGUGGGGAGCAAACAGGAUUAGAUACCCUGGUAGUCC